CCCUACGGGAGGCAGCAGUGGGGAAUAUUGCACAAUGGGGGAAACCCUGAUGCAGCGACGCCGCGUGAGUGAAGAAGUAUUUCGGUAUGUAAAGCUCUAUCAGCAGGGAAGAAAAUGACGGUACCUGACUAAGAAGCCCCGGCUAACUACGUGCCAGCAGCCGCGGUAAUACGUAGGGGGCAAGCGUUAUCCGGAUUUACUGGGUGUAAAGGGAGCGUAGACGGCAGAGCAAGUCUGAAGUGAAAGCCCGGGGCUCAACUCCGGGACUGCUUUUGAAACUGUGUUGCUAGAUUGCAGGAGAGGUA
rnacentral:rRNA from 1 species